AGCAGGAGCAUCUAUUUUAUUGCAAUCAACAAGAACAAUGCACUUACAAGUUAGUUCUUGGAUUUAUUUGCUUGAAAGAGACAUCAAUUUUCAGACAGAUAACACUAGCAUCAAUUUUCAGUGCACCACAUAGACAGAUAACACUAUAUAGGAAUCUUUCUCAGUAUACUAUCUAGGUGUAUGGUUCUUAUAUGGGUUAUUUGGUUGUAAAUGAUGACACUGUUUUAUUGUGAUUAGGAGUAUGUGACAGUGCAUGAUGGAGCCAUAGUCAAGGCAAGGUGGGAGGUUGAGUUACCACAACAGCAGCAGCAACAACAGAAAUGAUAUGACCAAGACAAUGGUGUCCAACAUAUCUUAUAUGUGUUCAACUGUACGUCCAAAAUAUUAGAUUUGCAACAAAAGUUCUUGGAGACAUGAUUCAAUAAUUGAGAGACAUGGGAAAGAAAUUGUUAUGGUUCCCUGAAGCCCCUGUUAGCUGGGAGAGCAACCUUCCCCAUUGAAUGUAGGAGUAAAUGCUUGAUCAUAUCAUUGCUUGAUGGAAAUACGGUUUGUUUCACAUCUCCCUCAGCUUUCCAAGUACAUGGUUGGUAUAUUUUUUUAUCACAGCACAUUGACCAGGCAUUAGCUUUAA